rnacentral:rRNA from 1 species
UACGUAGGGCGCAAGCGUUGUCCGGAAUUAUUGGGCGUAAAGAGCUCGUAGGUGGUUUGUUACGUCUUCUGUGAAAACCUAGGGCUUAACCCUGGGCCUGCAGUGGAUACGGGCAGACUAGAGGUAGGUAGGGGAGAAUGGAAUUCCCGGUGUAGCGGUGAAAUGCGCAGAUAUCAGGAGGAACACCGGUGGCGAAGGCGGGUCUCUGGGCCGUAACUGACGCUGAGGAGCGAAAGCGUGGGGAGCGAACAGG